ensembl:lncRNA
GUAACUCUACAACUAGCGUAAACUCUACAACUAGCGAAACUCUUCAAUUAGCGUAAACUAUUCAACAAGCUGUAAUUCUUCAAUUAGCGUAAACUCUUCAACUAGCGUAAACUCUUCAACUAGCAUAAACUCUUCAACUAGCGUAAACUCUUCAACUAGCGAAAACUCUUCAACUAGCGAAAACUCAACUAGCAUAAACUCUUCAGUUACAUUAACUCUUCAACUAACGUAAACUUUUCAAUUAGCGUAAACUCUUCAACUAGCGUAAACUUUUCAAUUAGCGUAAACUCUUCAACUAGCGUAAACUCUUCAAUUAGCGAAAACUCUUCAACUAGCAUAACUCUUCAACUAACAAACUUUUCAAUUAGCGUAAACUCUUCAACUAGCGUAAACUCUUCAAUUAGCGUAAACUCUUCAACUAGCGUAAACUCUUCAACUAGCAUUAACUCUUCAACUAACAUAAACUUUUCAAUUAGCGUAAACUUUUCAACUAGCAUAACUCUUCAACUAGCAUAAACUUUUCAACUAGCAUUAACUCUUCAACUAACAAACUUUUCAAUUAGCGUAAACUCUUCAACUAGCGUAAACUCUUCAAUUAGCGUAAACUCUUCAACUAGCGAAAACUCCAACUAGCGUAAACUCUUCAACUAGCGUAAACUCUUCAACUAGCAUUAACUCUUCAACUAACCGUAACUCUUCAAUUAGCGUAAACUCUUCAACUAGCGAAAACUCCAACUAGCGUAAACUCUUCAACUAGCGUAAACUCUUCAACUAGCAUUAACUGUUCAACUAACGUAAACUUUUCAAUUAGCGUAAACUUUUCAACUAGCAUAAACUCUUCAACUAGCGUAAACUUUUCAAUUAGCGUAAACUUUUCAACUAGCGUAAACUCUUCAACUAGUGUAAACUCUUCAGUUAGCGUAAACUCUUCAAUUAGUGUAACUCAACUAGCGUAAACUCUUCAACUAGCGUAAACUCUCACAGAAUUAAGCUGAAUGUUCAGAUCUAACAAACAUUCUGUGGAGAAAAGCCAAACGUAUAAUCUCAGGUGUGAAAUUGUCUGAUUCAUUUGUUUUGCCCUUUUCACCUGAACUAAACGGGAGGAGUGUUUCUCCACAUCUGUACACAUCCGUCUGUGACAUUUCUGCAGAUGUGUACA